AAUGCUCGCAAGAGUGAACUAGCUAACUGAAAUCACUAAUUGAUCUUAUCAAUGUGAUAUAGUAAGGGAAAACAAAUGAUAUUACUUUACUUAUAGUGUUGUCUAAUUCUGGUGCCAGAAGACUCGGUAAUACCAGUAACGCGAACGUUAGUCAUCUUUAUCAGGCGUAAAGGGUUUGUAGGCAGCUUUUAAAAAAAAUUCUUAACUAUAUUGUCCUUUUUUAUUUUUUUUUUUAUUAAAAAAAAAGACAAAAAAGGAAUAAAUAGUUAAGUCUCUAAUUUGAGAGCUAGAAUCAAAUAGAAGUUAAAAAGUAUAAUACUUAGAGAAGGGUUGAUAUUCUUAGAACCUAAGGGGAAUACUAAAGGUGUAAACAACUAACUAUAAAUGAUUGACGCUGAGACACGAAGGUGAGGAUAGGAAAUAGGAUUAGAUACCCCGGUACCCCUCUCUGUAAACGAUGAAUGGUAGUUAUUAGUGUAUUACUGGUAACGAAGCUAACGCGUUAACCAUUCCGCCUUGGGAGUACGAUUGCAAAGUUGAAAACAAAAAAAUUAGUCGGUCUCGGAGCAAACGGAGUGAAGCAUGU
rnacentral:rRNA from 1 species